AUUGAACGCUGGCGGAAUGCUUUACACAUGCAAGUCGAACGGCAGCACGGACUUCGGUCUGGUGGCGAGUGGCGAACGGGUGAGUAAUGUAUCGGAACGUGCCCAGUCGUGGGGGAUAACGUAGUGAAAAUUACGCUAAUACCGCAUACGAUCUAUGGAUGAAAGCGGGGGAUCGCAAGACCUCGCGCGAUUGGAGCGGCCGAUAUCAGAUUAGGUAGUUGGUGGGGUAAAGGCCCACCAAGCCAACGAUCUGUAGCUGGUCUGAGAGGACGACCAGGCACACUGGAACUGAGACACGGUCCAGACUCCCACGGGAGGCAGCAGUGGGGACUUUUGGACAAUGGGCGAAAGCCUGAUCCAGCCAUUCCGCGUGCAGGAUGAAGGCCCUCGGUUUGUAAACUGCUUUUGUACAGAACGAAAAGGUUUCUACUAAUACUAGGAGCUCAUGACGGUACUGUAAGAAUAAGCACCGGCUAACUACGUGCCAGCCGCCGCAGUAA
rnacentral:rRNA from 1 species